rnacentral:lncRNA from 1 species
AAUACUGAAGGUACAAGUCUUCUAGCCUAAACUGUACAUUUCAGAGCUCAGUAAUCACCCCUCUCUGUUUUCUUCAACAGCACAAAAAAGAUUCUUUCAAAUUCAAUCAUUUAGAGAAAACAAUAUAUACUACACAGUGGUUCUGAAUCAUAAAAUUUAAUAAUAGGACCAAUUUGGCCAGACCAUAAGAUAAAUAUGCUACACUGUAAUUCAAAGCACAGGGAAAUCAAAAAAACAAGAGUGUAGUUCAUUAUAAAAGGACAGAUGAUAAUUAGAUCCAAUUGGUUAACCUCAAAGUCAGUUUACUUAACAUCAAGGUAGUGCCAACACCAUAUACUUUACUUUCAAAGGCUUAACUAUGA